GGAACUUAAGGACAUCACAGAUUCAUCCAUUUUUUACUGAUUGUAUUCCCUGCAAUAGAUGUUCAGAGAAAAAGAGACGUGGCACCACACCAAUAUUCCUGCUCAUUAGUGAAAAUCCUGUUCCUAGGGAAACUGUGCUGUUGGACGCAUCUCUUGAUUAGCUUCAGAGCAACUGAAAUGGUUCUGUGUCUCUGAUUACUUUAAAGUAAUCUACAAUCAAUGCAUUUCCGUUGGCCUUACUUUCUUUGAAGACUAUGGGAACUAUUCUUACAAGACAAUUGAAGUAUUACUACAAAAUGUAUAUAUAUACUUGAACACUGUGUGGACUGUAUUACCAAGGACAAUGGUAAUCCUACCCAAAGGCUUACUACUUGUAAGGUGAACCUGGGAUUCUUUUAAGGGCAAACGAAAGUCAAGAAAUUAAAUAGGAAUAUGAAUCUCCAGAAUUUCUAUUAGCAAUGAUGAGAUUCAGUUUUUUGCUUGCAUCCCUCAUGUGAUCAUCUGCAUGAAAAAGGUAACACUUCUCCUAAUAAUCUUUAAUAAGAUGGAAACAUUUCCAAAACCAAUGUA
rnacentral:lncRNA from 1 species